rnacentral:sRNA from 1 species
AGGACAUCAAGGGUCAUUAUUUUGCUUUUUGUCACACUGGACAGAAGUUCGUGAUUCGAUUUGUAACAUCGGCUGCGAAGCUUGUGGUAUGUCUCUAUAAAAAUUUGUUAUUUGAGUCGAUUAAUUAUUCGCUUUUUGGCAGUUUGUUUCGAGCGCUCAAUGCAACACAAUUUGCAGUAUCAUGGUGACUCGAGUAGUGGCAAUUGGAGCGAAUAAAAUCUAAUAUUGCUCGGUCACUACUCCGUAGUUGUUAGUACAUACACCGUAGUAUGUGAGUUGAAAGUGGAGGAUGUCGUGAUGGGAGUUGGUGGUGAUGGC